rnacentral:rRNA from 1 species
AGUGAAUAGAUACCCAGGUAGUCCCAGCUGUAAACGAUGCGCGUUAGGUGUAUCGGUGACCACGAGUCACCGAGGUGCCGAAGGGAAACCGUGAAACGUGCCGCCUGGGAAGUACGGUCGCAAGGCUGAAACUUAAAGGAAUUGGCGGGGGAGCACCACAACAGGUGGAGCCUGCGGUUUAAUCGGACUCAACGCCGGGAAGCUCACCGGAUAAGACAGCUGAAUGAUAGCCGGGUUGAAGACUCUGCUUGACUAGCUGAGAGGAGGUGCAUGGCCGUCGUCAGUUCGUACUGUGAAGCAUCCUGUUAAGUUAGGCAACGAGCGAGACCCACGCCAACAGUUGCCAGCAUGUCCUCCGGGAUGGUGGGGACACUGUUGGGACCGCCUCUGCUAAAGAGGAGGAAGGAAUGGGCAACGGUAGGUCAGCAUGCCCCGAAUUAUCCGGGCUACACGCGGGCUACAAUGGUCAGGACAAUGGGUAUCAACACCGAAAGGUGGAGGCAAUCUCCUAAACCUGUCCUUAGUUCGGAUUGUGGGCU